rnacentral:rRNA from 1 species
UCUAGAGGGGAUCCAGAUCUUAAUCCUUGAGGGACCACCAGUGGCGAAGGCGUCUCACCAGAACGGACCUGACGGCAAGGGACGAAAGCUAGGGGCACGAACCGGAUUAGAUACCCGGGUAGUCCUAGCCGUAAACGAUACUCGCUAGGUGUCGGCCACGGUGCGACCGUUGUCGGUGCCGUAGGAAGCUUGGAAUU